rnacentral:tRNA from 1 species
GCCUGGCUGGCUCAGUCGUUUGAGCGUCCGACUUCAGCUCAGAUCAUGAUCUCAUGGUGUGUGAGUUCGAGCCCCGCGUUGGGCU